rnacentral:rRNA from 1 species
CCUACGGGAGGCAGCAGUCGAGAAUCAUUCACAAUGGGGGAAACCCUGAUGGUGCGACGCCGCGUGGGGGAAUGAAGGUCUUCGGAUUGUAAACCCCUGUCAUGUGGGAGCAAAUUAAAAAGAUAGUACCACAAGAGGAAGAGACGGCUAACUCUGUGCCAGCAGCCGCGGUAAUACAGAGGUCUCAAGCGUUGUUCGGAAUCACUGGGCGUAAAGCGUGCGUAGGCUGUUUCGUAAGUCGUGUGUGAAAGGCGCGGGCUCAACCCGCGGACGGCACAUGAUACUGCGAGACUAGAGUACUGGAGGGGGAAGCGGAAUUCUCGGUGUAGCAGUGAAAUGCGUAGAUAUCGAGAGGAACACUCGUGGCGAAGGCGGGUUCCUGGACAUUAACUGACGCUGAGGCACGAAGGCCAGGGGAGCGAAAGGGAUUAGAUACCCUUGUAGUC